rnacentral:rRNA from 1 species
GCAUAUCAAUAAGCGGAGGAAAAGAAACCAACAGGGAUUGCCUCAGUAACGGCGAGUGAAGCGGCAAGAGCUCAAAUUUGAAAUCUGGCCCCUCCGGGGUCCGAGUUGUAAUUUGCAGAGGAUGCUUCGGAUACGGCCCCCGUCUAAGUGCCCUGGAACGGGCCGUCGGAGAGGGUGAGAAUCCCGUCUGGGACGGGGUGCCCGUGUCCGUGUGAAGCUCCUUCGACGAGUCGAGUUGUUUGGGAAUGCAGCUCUAAAUGGGUGGUAAAUUUCAUCUAAAGCUAAAUAUUGGCCGGAGACCGAUAGCGCACAAGUAGAGUGAUCGAAAGAUGAAAAGCACUUUGAAAAGAGAGUUAAACAGCACGUGAAAUUGUUGAAAGGGAAGCGCUUGCGACCAGACUCGCCUGCGGGGUUCAGCCGGGAUUCGUCCCGGUGUACUUCCCCGCAGGCGGGCCAGCGUCGGUUUGGGCGGUCGGUCAAAGGCCUCCGGAAUGUAUCGCCCUCCGGGGCGUCUUAUAGCCGGAGGUGCAAUGCGGCCUGCCCGGACCGAGGAACGCGCUUCGGCACGGACGCUGGCAUAAUGGUCGUAAGCGACCCGUCUUGAAACACGGACCAAGGAGUCUAACAUCUACGCGAGUGUUCGGGUGUCAAACCCGUGCGCGCAGUGAAAGCGAACGGAGGUGGGAACCCCUCGGGGUGCACCAUCGACCGAUCCUGAUGUCUUCGGAUGGAUUUGAGUAGGAGCGUAGCUGUUGGGACCCGAAAGAUGGUGAACUAUGCCUGAAUAGGGCGAAGCCAGAGGAAACUCUGGUGGAGGCUCGCAGCGGUUCUGACGUGCAAAUCGAUCGUCGAAUUUGGGUAUAGGGGCGAAAGACUAAUCGAAACCAUCUGGUAGCUGGGUCUGCGAG